CCUGGUGCUACUAGCGCAAUGGAACCACUUCGACCCAUCCCGAACUCGAUUGUGAAACGUUGUAGCGGCGAAGAUACUUGGGGGGUUGCCCCCUGGGACAAUAGUUCAGUGCCAGGU
rnacentral:rRNA from 1 species